rnacentral:rRNA from 1 species
GAUGAACGCUGGCGGCGUGCCUAAUACAUGCAAGUCGAGCGAACAGACGAGGAGCUUGCUCCUCUGACGUUAGCGGCGGACGGGUGAGUAACACGUGGAUAACCUACCUAUAAGACUGGGAUAACUUCGGGAAACCGGAGCUAAUACCGGAUAAUAUAUUGAACCGGAUUGUUCAAUAGUGAAAGACGGUUUUGCUGUCACUUAUAGCUGGAUCCGCGCCGCAUUAGGUAGUUGGUAAGGUAACGGCUUACCAAGGAGACGAUGCGUAGCCGACCUGAGAGGGUGAUCGCCCACACGGGAACUGGGCCACGGUCAAGACUCCUACGGGAGGCAGCAGUAGGGAAUCUUCGGCAAUGGGCGAAAUCCUGACGGAGCAACGCCGCGUGAGUGAUGAAGGUCUUCGGAUCGUAAAACUCUGUUAUUAGGGAAGAACAAAUGUGUAAGUAAAUAUGCACGUCUUGACGGUACCUAAUCAGAAAGCCACGGCUAACUACGUG